rnacentral:rRNA from 1 species
GAUGAACGCUGGCGGCGUGCCUAAUACAUGCAAGUCGAGCGAACGGACGCGAAUCUUGCUUCUCUGUUGUUAGCGGCACACGGGUGAGUAACACGUGUAUAACCUCCCUAUCAUUCGGGUAUCUUCUCGAGACACCGGCGCUUAUCCCGUAGAAUCUUUUGAACCGCGUGGUUCAAAAGAGAAAUACGGCCUUUCUGUCACUUAUAGCUGGAUCCGGGCUGCAUUAGAUAGUUGGUAAGGUAACGGCCUACCAAGGCAACGAUGCAUAGCCGACCUGACAGGGUGAUCGGCGACAUGGGAACGGAGACACGGACAAGACGCCUACGAGAGGGCGCAGAAGGGAACCGUCCGCAAUGGGGGAAAGCCUGACGGAGCAACGCGGCGUGAGUGAUGAAGGCCUUCGGAUCGUAAAACUCUGUUAUGAGGGAAGAACAUAUGUGUCAGUAGAUGUGCACAGCUUGACGGUACCUAAUAAGAAAGCAACGGCUAACUACGUG